GAUGAACGCUGGCGGCGUGCCUAAUACAUGCAAGUCGAGCGAACAGACGAGGAGCUUGCUCCUCUGACGUUAGCGGCGGACGGGUGAGUAACACGUGGAUAACCUACCUAUAAGACUGGGAUAACUUCGGGAAACCGGAGCUAAUACCGGAUAAUAUAUUGAACCGCAUGGUUCAAUAGUGAAAGACGGUUUUGCUGUCACUUAUAGAUGGAUCCGCGCCGCAUUAGCUAGUUGGUAAGGUAACGGCUUACCAAGGCAGCGAUGCGUAGCCGACCUGAGAGGGUGAUCGGCCACACUGGAGCUGAGACACGGUCAAGACUCCUACGGGAGGCAGCAGUAGGGAAUCUGCCGCAAUGGGCGAAAGCCUGACGGAGCAACGCCGCGUGAGUGAUGAAGGUCUUCGGAUCGUAAAACUCUGUUAUUAGGGAAGAACAAAUGUGUAAGUAACUAUGCACGUCUUGACGGUACCUAAUCAGAAAGCCACGGCUAACUACGUG
rnacentral:rRNA from 1 species